GGGCUCGCGGCCUAUCAGCUUGUUGGUGAGGUAAUGGCUCACCAAGGCGUCGACGGGUAGCCGGCCUGAGAGGGUGACCGGCCACACUGGGACUGAGACACGGCCCAGACUCCUACGGGAGGCAGCAGUGGGGAAUAUUGCACAAUGGGCGAAAGCCUGAUGCAGCAACGCCGCGUGAGGGAUGACGGCCUUCGGGUUGUAAACCUCUUUUAGCAGGGAAGAAGCGAAAGUGACGGUACCUGCAGAAAAAGCACCGGCUAACUACGUGCCAGCAGCCGCGGUAAUACGUAGGGUGCAAGCGUUAUCCGGAAUUAUUGGGCGUAAAGAGCUCGUAGGCGGUUUGUCGCGUCUGCUGUGAAAUCCGGAGGCUCAACCUCCGGCCUGCAGUGGGUACGGGCAGACUAGAGUGCGGUAGGGGAGAUUGGAAUUCCUGGUGUAGCGGUGGAAUGCGCAGAUAUCAGGAGGAACACCGAUGGCGAAGGCAGAUCUCUGGGCCGUUACUGACGCUGAGGAGCGAAAGGGUGGGGAGCAAACAGGCUUAGAUACCCUGGUAGUCCACCCCGUAAACGUUGGGAACUAGUUGUGGGGUCCAUUC
rnacentral:rRNA from 1 species